rnacentral:tRNA from 1 species
GGAGGGUUCGCAUAGAGGCCGAGUGCGCUCGCUUGGAAAGCGGGUAUACCGCAAGGUAUCGAGGGUUCGAAUCCCUCACCCUCCG